GGGAGUUUGGCUGGGGCGGCAC
rnacentral:ncRNA from 3 species